GCGGAAGAAGGCAGCGCCCAAGGCGCAUGCGCAGCGGUCACUCCCGCUGUAUAUUAAGGCGCCGGCGAUCGCGGCCUGAGGCUGCUCCCGGACAAGGGCAACGAGCGUUUCGUUUGGACUUCUCGACUUGAGUGCCCGUCUCCUUCGCCGCCGCCUCUGCAGAGUCCUCAGCGCAGUCUUUCCACAGGAGCCAGCAUACUUCUUGAACAUGGAGAGUGUUGUUCGCCGCUGCCCAUUCUUAUCCCGAGUCCCCCAGGCCUUUCUGCAGAAAGCAGGCAAAUCUCUGUUGUUCUAUGCCCAAAACUGCCCCAAGAUGAUGGAAGUUGGGGCCAAGCCAGCCCCUCGGGCAUUGUCCACUGCAGCAGUACACUACCAACAGAUCAAAGAAACCCCUCCGGCCAGUGAGAAAGACAAAACUGCUAAGGCCAAGGUCCAACAGACUCCUGAUGGAUCCCAGCAGAGCCCAGAUGGCACACAGCUUCCGUCUGGACACCCCUUGCCUGCCACAAGCCAGGGCACUGCAAGCAAAUGCCCUUUCCUGGCAGCACAGAUGAAUCAGAGAGGCAGCAGUGUCUUCUGCAAAGCCAGUCUUGAGCUUCAGGAGGAUGUGCAGGAAAUGAAUGCCGUGAGGAAAGAGGUUGCUGAAACCUCAGCAGGCCCCAGUGUGGUUAGUGUGAAAACCGAUGGAGGGGAUCCCAGUGGACUGCUGAAGAACUUCCAGGACAUCAUGCAAAAGCAAAGACCAGAAAGAGUGUCUCAUCUUCUUCAAGAUAACUUGCCAAAAUCUGUUUCCACUUUUCAGUAUGAUCGUUUCUUUGAGAAAAAAAUUGAUGAGAAAAAGAAUGACCACACCUAUCGAGUUUUUAAAACUGUGAACCGGCGAGCACACAUCUUCCCCAUGGCAGAUGACUAUUCAGACUCCCUCAUCACCAAAAAGCAAGUGUCAGUCUGGUGCAGUAAUGACUACCUAGGAAUGAGUCGCCACCCACGGGUGUGUGGGGCAGUUAUGGACACUUUGAAACAACAUGGUGCUGGGGCAGGUGGUACUAGAAAUAUUUCUGGAACUAGUAAAUUCCAUGUGGACUUAGAGCGGGAGCUGGCAGACCUCCAUGGGAAAGAUGCCGCACUCUUGUUUUCCUCGUGCUUUGUGGCCAAUGACUCAACCCUCUUCACCCUGGCUAAGAUGAUGCCAGGCUGUGAGAUUUACUCUGAUUCUGGGAACCAUGCCUCCAUGAUCCAAGGGAUUCGAAACAGCCGAGUGCCAAAGUACAUCUUCCGCCACAAUGACGUCAGCCAUCUCAGAGAACUGCUGCAAAGAUCUGACCCCUCAGUCCCCAAGAUUGUGGCAUUUGAAACUGUCCAUUCAAUGGAUGGGGCAGUGUGCCCACUGGAAGAGCUGUGUGAUGUGGCCCAUGAGUUUGGAGCAAUCACCUUCGUGGAUGAGGUCCACGCAGUGGGGCUUUAUGGGGCUCGAGGCGGAGGGAUUGGGGAUCGGGAUGGAGUCAUGCCAAAAAUGGACAUCAUUUCUGGAACACUUGGCAAAGCCUUUGGCUGUGUUGGAGGGUACAUCGCCAGCACGAGUUCUCUGAUUGACACCGUACGGUCCUAUGCUGCUGGCUUCAUCUUCACCACCUCUCUGCCACCCAUGCUGCUGGCUGGAGCCCUGGAGUCUGUGCGGAUCCUGAAGAGCGCUGAGGGACGGGUGCUUCGCCGCCAGCACCAGCGCAACGUCAAACUGAUGAGACAGAUGCUAAUGGAUGCCGGCCUCCCUGUUGUCCACUGCCCCAGCCACAUCAUCCCUGUGCGGGUAAUGGCCUGUCUCUGAUUGGACUUGCCGUGGGGUGUGCCUCUACACAUGAUGUACGGAUGUUCUGCUUCAUACCUUCCUGAAGUUGGGCUUGAGCGGGGUGACUGCCAGGGCAGGGGUUGUAGCCAGCCACCCUCUGUCAUGUUUCCGCCAUUGGCUGACUUCACCAAGAGAAGAAAGCCUUUGAACCCGGCAGGCUGGGGCAGAAGUUCCCUCUCCGGAGCACUGACCUUAACAGGGUUGCAGAUGCUGCUAAAAACACAGAAGUCUGUGAUGAACUAAUGAGCAGACAUAACAUUUACGUGCAAGCAAUCAAUUACCCUACGGUGCCCCGGGGAGAAGAGCUCCUACGGAUUGCCCCCACCCCUCACCACACACCCCAGAUGAUGAACUACUUCCUUGAGAAUCUGCUAGUCACGUGGAAGCAAGUGGGGCUGGAACUGAAGCCUCAUUCCUCAGCUGAGUGCAACUUCUGCAGGAGGCCACUGCAUUUUGAAGUGAUGAGUGAAAGAGAGAAGUCCUAUUUCUCAGGCUUGAGCAAGUUGGUAUCUGCUCAGGCCUGAGCAUGACCUCAAUUAUUUCACUUAACCCCAGGCCAUUAUCAUAUCCAGAUAGUCUUCAGAGUUGUCUUUAUAUGUGAAUUAAGUUAUAUUAAAUUUUAAUCUAUAGUAAAAACAUAGUCCUGGAAAUAAA